GGGUUGUGAGGUUAAGCGACUAAGCGUACACGGUGGAUGCCCUGGCAGUCAGAGGCGAUGAAGGACGUGCUAAUCUGCGAUAAGCGUCGGUAAGGUGAUAUGAACCGUUAUAACCGGCGAUUUCCGAAUGGGGAAACCCAGUGUGUUUCGACACACUAUCAUUAACUGAAUCCAUAGGUUAAUGAGGCGAACCGGGGGAACUGAAACAUCUAAGUACCCCGAGGAAAAGAAAUCAACCGAGAUUCCCCCAGUAGCGGCGAGCGAACGGGGAGGAGCCCAGAGCCUGAAUCAGUGUGUGUGUUAGUGGAAGCGUCUGGAAAGGCGCGCGAUACAGGGUGACAGCCCCGUACACAAAAAUGCACAUGCUGUGAGCUCGAUGAGUAGGGCGGGACACGUGGUAUCCUGUCUGAAUAUGGGGGGACCAUCCUCCAAGGCUAAAUACUCCUGACUGACCGAUAGUGAACCAGUACCGUGAGGGAAAGGCGAAAAGAACCCCGGCGAGGGGAGUGAAAAAGAACCUGAAACCGUGUACGUACAAGCAGUGGGAGCCUCUUUUAUGGGGUGACUGCGUACCUUUUGUAUAAUGGGUCAGCGACUUAUAUUCUGUAGCAAGGUUAACCGAAUAGGGGAGCCGAAGGGAAACCGAGUCUUAACUGGGCGUUAAGUUGCAGGGUAUAGACCCGAAACCCGGUGAUCUAGCCAUGGGCAGGUUGAAGGUUGGGUAACACUAACUGGAGGACCGAACCGACUAAUGUUGAAAAAUUAGCGGAUGACUUGUGGCUGGGGGUGAAAGGCCAAUCAAACCGGGAGAUAGCUGGUUCUCCCCGAAAGCUAUUUAGGUAGCGCCUCGUGAAUUCAUCUCCGGGGGUAGAGCACUGUUUCGGCAAGGGGGUCAUCCCGACUUACCAACCCGAUGCAAACUGCGAAUACCGGAGAAUGUUAUCACGGGAGACACACGGCGGGUGCUAACGUCCGUCGUGAAGAGGGAAACAACCCAGACCGCCAGCUAAGGUCCCAAAGUCAUGGUUAAGUGGGAAACGAUGUGGGAAGGCCCAGACAGCCAGGAUGUUGGCUUAGAAGCAGCCAUCAUUUAAAGAAAGCGUAAUAGCUCACUGGUCGAGUCGGCCUGCGCGGAAGAUGUAACGGGGCUAAACCAUGCACCGAAGCUGCGGCAGCGACGCUUAUGCGUUGUUGGGUAGGGGAGCGUUCUGUAAGCCUGUGAAGGUGUGCUGUGAGGCAUGCUGGAGGUAUCAGAAGUGCGAAUGCUGACAUAAGUAACGAUAAAGCGGGUGAAAAGCCCGCUCGCCGGAAGACCAAGGGUUCCUGUCCAACGUUAAUCGGGGCAGGGUGAGUCGACCCCUAAGGCGAGGCCGAAAGGCGUAGUCGAUGGGAAACAGGUUAAUAUUCCUGUACUUGGUGUUACUGCGAAGGGGGGACGGAGAAGGCUAUGUUGGCCGGGCGACGGUUGUCCCGGUUUAAGCGUGUAGGCUGGUUUUCCAGGCAAAUCCGGAAAAUCAAGGCUGAGGCGUGAUGACGAGGCACUACGGUGCUGAAGCAACAAAUGCCCUGCUUCCAGGAAAAGCCUCUAAGCAUCAGGUAACAUCAAAUCGUACCCCAAACCGACACAGGUGGUCAGGUAGAGAAUACCAAGGCGCUUGAGAGAACUCGGGUGAAGGAACUAGGCAAAAUGGUGCCGUAACUUCGGGAGAAGGCACGCUGAUAUGUAGGUGAAGCGACUUGCUCGUGGAGCUGAAAUCAGUCGAAGAUACCAGCUGGCUGCAACUGUUUAUUAAAAACACAGCACUGUGCAAACACGAAAGUGGACGUAUACGGUGUGACGCCUGCCCGGUGCCGGAAGGUUAAUUGAUGGGGUUAGCGCAAGCGAAGCUCUUGAUCGAAGCCCCGGUAAACGGCGGCCGUAACUAUAACGGUCCUAAGGUAGCGAAAUUCCUUGUCGGGUAAGUUCCGACCUGCACGAAUGGCGUAAUGAUGGCCAGGCUGUCUCCACCCGAGACUCAGUGAAAUUGAACUCGCUGUGAAGAUGCAGUGUACCCGCGGCAAGACGGAAAGACCCCGUGAACCUUUACUAUAGCUUGACACUGAACAUUGAGCCUUGAUGUGUAGGAUAGGUGGGAGGCUUUGAAGUGUGGACGCCAGUCUGCAUGGAGCCGACCUUGAAAUACCACCCUUUAAUGUUUGAUGUUCUAACGUUGACCCGUAAUCCGGGUUGCGGACAGUGUCUGGUGGGUAGUUUGACUGGGGCGGUCUCCUCCUAAAGAGUAACGGAGGAGCACGAAGGUUGGCUAAUCCUGGUCGGACAUCAGGAGGUUAGUGCAAUGGCAUAAGCCAGCUUGACUGCGAGCGUGACGGCGCGAGCAGGUGCGAAAGCAGGUCAUAGUGAUCCGGUGGUUCUGAAUGGAAGGGCCAUCGCUCAACGGAUAAAAGGUACUCCGGGGAUAACAGGCUGAUACCGCCCAAGAGUUCAUAUCGACGGCGGUGUUUGGCACCUCGAUGUCGGCUCAUCACAUCCUGGGGCUGAAGUAGGUCCCAAGGGUAUGGCUGUUCGCCAUUUAAAGUGGUACGCGAGCUGGGUUUAGAACGUCGUGAGACAGUUCGGUCCCUAUCUGCCGUGGGCGCUGGAGAACUGAGGGGGGCUGCUCCUAGUACGAGAGGACCGGAGUGGACGCAUCACUGGUGUUCGGGUUGUCAUGCCAAUGGCACUGCCCGGUAGCUAAAUGCGGAAGAGAUAAGUGCUGAAAGCAUCUAAGCACGAAACUUGCCCCGAGAUGAGUUCUCCCUGACUCCUUGAGAGUCCUGAAGGAACGUUGAAGACGACGACGUUGAUAGGCCGGGUGUGUAAGCGCAGCGAUGCGUUGAGCUAACCGGUACUAAUGAACCGUGAGGCUUAACCUUACAACGCCGAAG
rnacentral:rRNA from 1 species